CGGGCUGGUCACACGGCAGCUGGAUGUCCACCACAAAGUUGGUCGAGUGGCCCGUCGUCGAGAGCACACCUGCAGCGCGGAUAGGUGUGAGAUUGCGGGCGCCGAACAUUAUUAACCACGGCUGCUCGUUACCACCGAACCCGCUGUUCAGAAGCCCGUUAAAACUGGAAAUUCGCCUGUCGUCAGUGAGCUGGAUCGAUGCUCUGGACCACACGGUGCCGGAGGACGACCAGAGGUCCAGGCGUUUCUCCCAGUCCUCCACCCGAGACCGGAUUGGGCCGACAUGGCGUGACGACGAAAUGGUCUGAAAUAAGCAAAACGCCGUCAGUCUCACACGCAAACGUGCUGGAUAUAAAAGGAAGCAGCAGGCCCAACAUCGAAUUCAGCACCAGAUCCAGCUCUACCUUAGACCCAAGGCCCUAAAACAUAGACCCAACGCUUAGACCCAACGCUACCAGACACGGCUGCACCGAGCGCGACGUCGGUAUGUGGAGUGUGGACCCAGCGCCGCCCACCUUUCCGAGCAGCGUCU